rnacentral:tRNA from 1 species
GGGGAUAGAGCUCAGUUGGUAGAGUGCUUGCCUUACAUAUACAAAGCCCUGGGUUAGAUCCCCAGUAACCCCC